ensembl:lncRNA
UUAACGUUGAACAGUGUUUCCUUUUUCUAGUAUAACUUUAAGAAAAUGACUACGGAACCGAUCUACCAAAGGAUUUUAUUUAAUUAUUUUUUCUAAACUAUUUGACUUAAAAGUUGAAGUCCAAUGAGUGAGACCAGUUCUUAACAAAACGAUAACACAUUUCCCAUCAGUCGUCACUAUUAAGUUUAUGGUUGUCUUUUAUUAUAUUAGUGGGUAACACUGUGACACGGAACGGUCGCUCAGCUACUUCAAUCGUAAAUAUAAAAUCGGGAGAUGAUUUAGAUCCGUAGAGUGAUAUUUUUUAACGACUUUUAUCUUUCAAAGCAUAACGCUGUGUGUGUGUGCGUGUGUGUGUGUGUGUGAGAGAGCGGGUGUAGGCAGUGUGGUGGAAAUUAAAUUUAUAUAAUUUCUUGUUCACUGAACAAUCUUUAUUACACAUUAGGUUUACGAAUUAACCCACGAAGGAACCGUGUGGCUGUCUGUCAUUUUCUCGUGUCAAUGCAGAUACUUGAGAAGAAAGAACCCAGUCGCUCCCUUUUUCACCUGACAGGUGUACUGGCCCUCAGUCAACACCAGUUACUGCUUGCUCGAUGUUCCACACUAUCUUACAUUGAUUCCCUUACUGAGAGCAAUGAACACGCAUACAGCUCGGUAUGUACCUCCUGCUUUGCAGACUUGUGAAGAGAUUUACAAAAAGACAAAAAAAUAGGUUUGUAAUUAAUGUUUACUAUUGAAUAUUUUAACAUGUUGCAACUAACAAUUUAGCACCUUGACACUCCAAACCGGUUGAAUUAACCACUUCACUGUUUCAUCACUGCUGUGUUCCAGCUCAUGGAGCAGUUAAAUGUAUAGAAAUAUGCAAAAUCGUGUUUUAGUUGUAUUGAUUGCAUUGUAAAUUAUGUCGAUAGUGUAAUCACUGUUUUUGAAGCUCUGACUUUUUUUGAUAAGUGGAAGUCAAUGGUUGAAAACUAUUUAUUUGUAGGAUGGGUUUCAUGUAAGGACUGGAAUGAUUGUGAACAGAAAAAACGUAAUUAAAUGAUCUAAACGCUGGGCUCCUGC